ensembl:lncRNA
GUUUUUUGGGAGCUCUGCGGCAAAGACAAUCUUCAAACUGGCUUCUGCUAAUGCCACUUCUCCAAAGGUUUUGAAACUUCUUCUCUCAGUUUCAGAAACGCGUGUGAUACUGUCGUCUAAACUUAUUAAGCAUGAAUCAUUGUCGCACUGACUCAACUGGUAUCAGUAUUGCUAUGCAUGUUCUUAUAUGAAAAAUUGUUUGUUGUGUUGCCCUUUAUAAGCCAACAUCCACGAAAUAAGAAGGAGGGUGGGUUUUUAGUUACAAACUUAGUGCGUCCAGUGAUAUGUUACAUACACUGAAGUUUGGAGUCUAGUUUCCAUAUUUUCCAUAUGAAGGGUUCUGAAGUUAGGGAGAGUGGGAGACUGAGUGCCCGAGGAAUGACCACAGGACCAAGAAGACCCGAAAAGAUGCUGAGGACGGUCAUUGCACUCACAUGAAGAUGGAGCAAUUGAAACAAUAGCCGUGGCUAGGAUAUGAGUGAAAGACACAAGCAGAUCUUAGGAGCAGUCCCUGAAGACAGUUUUUAAGGAGUAUAAUUUGAUCAGAGGCUUUAUCUGGAAUGCGGAGUCUGUGCAUUGCAGUCUUUCCUGGGAUUUCGCUGGCCCUCGUCUACCACUCCUGGUAACUAACACUAAGACCAAGAAUUGCCUGAGCUCUCAGAUGUCCCGAGUGAAUGGGUCCGUGUCUUAAGAAUUCGUAAGUCUCUAUCUGAGUACUAUGUCCACUGAUGUUUCACCUAAUCUUUCUUACCAGAGAAAAUGCAUCUAUAGAUGUUGGACUCUGCAUCUGAAAAACUUGGUUAUCCCAGAAACAGUCUCUGCCCUGGACCAGGUAGUUUCCCUGGUCAGUCCCCUCAGCCACCACAAAUCCUGAAAAUCAUGGUGAAAACUAGAAUCCUUUUGCAUCAGCCUUUUGUCUUGAUUGUUGAGUGGGAAGACGCUGCAUGAGUGAAAGAGGAAGGAAUUGAAAGAGAUUCCUUUGCUGCCCAGAAAAGAGGAACCCAUGACGUGAGUGGCUCCAAGAACCCCAAGGCAGAGGUCUGUGUGGAAAGGACCACCUUGAGAGGAAUGUGACCUCUGAUUGUGAGUACAGCCAGUAUGAGACAAAUCCAGAGGAAGGAGUCAGGAGAAUGAACACUCUGACCUCUCUUGCCUCCUUUUCUCUGAUCUACCAAGGCUUCUUCUCAGCCAAAGAUUAUCAGAUAUGCCCUCCCAGAGGACACAGGAGCCCACUGAGGUCUUCCUCCUGAGGCAGGAUAGAGAAGUGUGGAGGAUGAUUCUGGAGGGAGCAAUGGAAGAAACAGGGCAUAUUACAGAGAUAAA